AACGAACGCUGGCGGCGCGCCUAAUACAUGCAAGUCGAGCGAGAAGACGUAGCAAUACGUUUGUAAAGCGGCGAACGGGUGAGGAAUACAUGGGUAACCUACCCUCGAGUGGGGAAUAACUAGCCGAAAGGUUAGCUAAUACCGCGUACGCUCCUUGGACUUCGGUUCAGGGAGGAAAGCGAUACCGUGGGUAUCGCGCUCUUGGAUGGGCUCAUGUCCUAUCAGCUUGUUGGUGAGGAACGGCUCACCAAGGCUUCGACGGGUAGCUGGUCUGAGAGGACGAUCAGCCACACUGGCACUGCGACACGGGCCAGACUCCUAC
rnacentral:rRNA from 1 species